UUUCCGUAGGUGAACCUGCGGAAGGAUCAUUAUUGAAUAAACCUGGCUUGGUUGAUGCUGGUCCUUUCGGAGACAUGUGCACACCUUGUCAUCUUUAUAUCUCCACCUGUGCACCUUUUGUAGACCUGGAUUCAACUUUCCGAGGAAACUCGGUUGUGAGGAAUUGCUUAAUAGGCUUUCCUUGUUAGUUUCCAGGGCUAUGUUUUCAUAUACGCCUUAAGAAUGUAACAGAAUGUCAUUAUUAGGCUUAAUUGCCUUAUAAACUAUAUACAACUUUCAGCAACGGAUCUCUUGGCUCUC
rnacentral:misc_RNA from 1 species